rnacentral:rRNA from 1 species
AGUCGAACGGCAGCACAGGAGAGCUUGCUCUCUGGGUGGCGAGUGGCGGACGGGUGAGGAAUACAUCGGAAUCUACCUUUUCGUGGGGGAUAACGUAGGGAAACUUACGCUAAUACCGCAUACGACCUUCGGGUGAAAGCAGGGGACCUUCGGGCCUUGCGCGGAUAGAUGAGCCGAUGUCGGAUUAGCUAGUUGGCGGGGUAAAGGCCCACCAAGGCGACGAUCCGUAGCUGGUCUGAGAGGAUGAUCAGCCACACUGGAACUGAGACACGGUCCAGACUCCUACGGGAGGCAGCAGUGGGGAAUAUUGGACAAUGGGCGCAAGCCUGAUCCAGCCAUACCGCGUGGGUGAAGAAGGCCUUCGGGUUGUAAAGCCCUUUUGUUGGGAAAGAAAAGCAGCCAGUUAAUACCUGGUUGUUCUGACGGUACCCAAAGAAUAAGCACCGGCUAACUUCGUGCCAGCAGCCGCGGUAAUACGAAGGGUGCAAGCGUUACUCGGAAUUACUGGGCGUAAAGCGUGCGUAGGUGGUUGUUUAAGUCUGUUGUGAAAGCCCUGGGCUCAACCUGGGAAUUGCAGUGGAUACUGGACGACUAGAGUGUGGUAGAGGGUAGUGGAAUUCCUGGUGUAGCAGUGAAAUGCGUAGAGAUCAGGAGGAACAUCCAUGGCGAAGGCAGCUACCUGGACCAACACUGACACUGAGGCACGAAA